rnacentral:rRNA from 1 species
UACGGAGGGUGCAAGCGUUAUCCGGAUUUACUGGGUUUAAAGGGUGUGUAGGCGGACUUUUAAGUCAGCGGUGAAAUCUCCGGGCUCAACCCGGAAACUGCCAUUGAUACUAUUGGUCUUGAAUGUUGUUGAGGUGGGCGGAACGGGUCAUGUAGCGGUGAAAUGCAUAGAUAUGACCCGGAACACCGAUUGCGUAGGCAGCCCACUAAGCAACGAUUGACGCUGAGGCACGAAAGCGUGGGGAUCAAACAGGG